rnacentral:rRNA from 1 species
GAUGAACGCUGGCGGCGUGCCUAAUACAUGCAAGUCGAGCGAACAGACGAGGAGCUUGCUCCUUUGACGUUAGCGGCGGACGGGUGAGUAACACGUGGGUAACCUACCUAUAAGACUGGGAUAACUUCGGGAAACCGGAGCUAAUACCGGAUAAUAUUUCGAACCGCAUGGUUCGAUAGUGAAAGAUGGCUUUGCUAUCACUUAUAGAUGGACCUGCGCCGUAUUAGCUAGUUGGUAAGGUAACGGCUUACCAAGGCAACGAUACGUAGCCGACCUGAGAGGGUGAUCGGCCACACUGGAACUGAGACACGGUCCAGACUCCUACGGGAGGCAGCAGUAGGGCAUCUUCCGCAAUGGGCGAAAGCCUGACGGAGCAACGCCGCGUGAGUGAUGAAGGUCUUCGGAUCGUAAAACUCUGUUAUUAGGGAAGAACAAACGUGUAAGUAACUGUGCACGUCUUGACGGUACCUAAUCAGAAAGCCACGGCUAAUUACGUGCCAGCAGCCGCGGUAA